rnacentral:tRNA from 1 species
CUAAGGAGUCCGUAAGGACACACGGAAUGCACUUGAGUCUUGUUUAGUUUUGAGAGGGCUAUGUGGGGCCUUAGCUCAGCUGGGAGAGCGCCUGCUUUGCACGCAGGAGGUCAGCGGUUCGAUCCCGCUAGGCUCCAUUAUCUAGUUUGACUAGAUAAAGAACUUGUCCAUUGAAAAUUGAAUACCGAUAUCAAAUAGUAACAAGAAAAUAAACCGAAAACGCUGUGAAUAUUAAUGAGUUUAAGACUGAAAGGUCAAAAUUAA